rnacentral:rRNA from 1 species
AUUGAACGCUGGCGGCAUGCCUUACACAUGCAAGUCGAACGGCAGCACGGGAGCAAUCCUGGUGGCGAGUGGCGAACGGGUGAGUAAAGUAUCGGAACGUGCCCAGUCGUGGGGGAUAACGUAGCGAAAGUUACGCUAAUCCCGCAUACAAUCUAUGGAUGAAAGCGGGGGAUCGCAAGACCUCGCGCGAUUGGAGCGGCCGAUAUCAGAUUAGGUAGUUGGUGGGGUAAAGGCCCACCAAGCCGACGAUCUGUAGCUGGUCUGAGAGGACGACCAGCCACCCUGGGACUGGGACACGGCCCAGACUGCUACGGGAGGCAGCAGUGGGGAAUUUUGGACAAUGGGCGAAAGCCUGAUUCAGCCAUGCCGCGUGCAGGAUGAAGGCCUUCGGGUUGUAAACUGCUUUUGUACGGAACGAAAAGGUUUGGCCUAAUAAGCUGAGCUCAUGACGGUACCGUAAGAAUAAGCACCGGCUAACUACGUGCCAGCCGCCGCCGUAA